rnacentral:rRNA from 1 species
CCUACGGGGGGCAGCAGUGGGGAAUAUUGCACAAUGGGGGAAACCCUGAUGCAGCGACGCCGCGUGGGUGACGAAGUAUUUCGGUAUGUAAAGCCCUAUCAGCAGGGAAGAAGAUGACAGUACCUGACCAAGAAGCCCCGGCUAACUACGUGCCAGCAGCCGCGGUAAUACGUAGGGGGCAAGCGUUAUCCGGAUUUACUGGGUGUAAAGGGAGCGUAGGUGGCAUGGCAAGCCAGAAGUGAAAACCCGGGGCUUAACCCCGCGGAUUGCUUUUGGAACUGUCAGGCUGGAGUGCAGGAGGGGCAGGCGGAAGUCCUGGUGUAGCGGUGAAAUGCGUAGAUAUCAGGAGGAACACCGGUGGCGAAGGCGGCCUGCUGGACUGUAACUGACACUGAGGCUCGAAAGCGUGGGGAGCAAACAGGAUUAGAUACCCGGGUAGUC